UCCUGGCUUAGGACGAACGCUGGCGGCGUGCCUAACACAUGCAAGUCGAGCGAGGAGAUCCUUCGGGAUGAUCCUAGCGGCGGACGGGUGAGUAACACGUGGGCAACCUGCCUCAUAGAGAGGAAUAGCCUUCCGAAAGGGAGAUUAAUACCUCAUAACAUUGCAGUUUCGCAUGGAACAGCAAUUAAAGGAGUAAUCCGCUAUGAGAUGGGCCCGCGGCGCAUUAGCUAGUUGGUGAGGUAACGGCUCACCAAGGCGACGAUGCGUAGCCGACCUGAGAGGGUGAUCGGCCACAUUGGGACUGAGACACGGCCCAGACUCCUACGGGAGGCAGCAGUGGGGAAUAUUGCACAAUGGGGGAAACCCUGAUGCCAGCAACGCCGCGUGAGUGAUGACGGCCUUCGGGUUGUAAAGCUCUGUCUUCAGGGACGAUAAUGACGGUACCUGAGGAGGAAGCCACGGCUAACUACGUGCCAGCCGCCGC
rnacentral:rRNA from 1 species